rnacentral:rRNA from 1 species
UACGGGGGGGGCAAGCGUUGUCCGGAAUCAUUGGGCGUAAAGCGCGUGUAGGCGGCCCGGUAAGUCCGCUGUGAAAGUCGGGGGCUCAACCCUCGAAUGCCGGUGGAUACUGUCGGGCUAGAGUGCGGGAGAGGCGAGUGGAAUUCCUGGUGUAGCGGUGAAAUGCGCAGAUAUCAGGAGGAACACCAACAGCGAAGGCAGAUCUCUGGGACGUAACUGACGCUGAGACGCGAAAGCGUGGGGAGCAAACAGG